rnacentral:rRNA from 1 species
UAGGGAAUCUUCGGCAAUGGACGAAAGUCUGACCGAGCAACGCCGCGCGAGUGAAGAAGGUUCUCGGAUCGUAAAACUCUGUUGUUAGAGAAGAACAAGGACGUUAGUAACUGAACGUCCCCUGACGGUAUCUAACCAGAAAGCCACGGCUAACUACGUGCCAGCAGCCGCGGUAAUACGUAGGUGGCAAGCGUUGUCCGGAUUUAUUGGGCGUAAAGCGAGCGCAGGCGGUUUCUUAAGUGUGAUGUGAAAGCCCCCGGCUCAACCGGGGAGGGUCAUUGGAAACUGGGAGACUUGGGUGCAGAAGAGGAGAGUGGAAUUCCGUGUGGAGCGGUGAAAUGCGUAGAUAUAUGGAGGAACACCAGUGGCGAAGGCGGCUCUCUGGUCUGUAAGUGGCGCUGAGGCGCGAGAGCGUGGGGAGCAAACAGG